rnacentral:lncRNA from 1 species
AAAAAAUCUUAAAGAAAUAUUAGAAUAAUCACAAAUAUAUCUCAAAUAUAUCUCAAUUCAAUCUUAAUUUAAUCCUAAUUAAAAUCCUAUUGGACUUCAUUCAAACUUUAGGCCAAAAACUAAUUAAAUCUUAAAUCCUAAAUAAAUCCUACUAAAAUCCUAAAUCCUAAAUCAAACCUUAGUCAAAUCUUAAAUCCUAAAUUAAAUCCUAAAUCUUAAAUCAAAUCGUAAUCAAAUCCUAAAUCCUAAACCAAAUUCUAAUCUUAAAUCAAACCAUAAUCAAACCCUAAUCCUAAAUCAAACCCUAACCAAAUCCUAACCCUAAAUCAAAUCUUAACCAAAUCCUAACCAAACGUUAAACUCUAAACCAAAUCCUAACCCCAAAUCAAAUCCUAACCAAAUUCUAAACUCUAAACCAAAUCCUAACCAAA